GUGGGGAAUAUUGCACAAUGGGGGAAACCCUGAUGCAGCGACGCCGCGUGGAGGAAGAAGGUCUUCGGAUUGUAAACUCCUGUUGUUGGGGACGAUAAUGACGGUACCCAACAAGGAAGUGACGGCUAACUACGUGCCAGCAGCCGCGGUAAAACGUAGGUCACAAGCGUUGUCCGGAAUUACUGGGUGUAAAGGGAGCGCAGGCGGGAUCGCAAGUUGGAAGUGAAAUCUACGGGCUCAACCCGUAAACUGCUUUCAAAACUGCGGUUCUUGAGUAGUGCAGAGGUAGGCGGAAUUCCCGGUGUAGCGGUGGAAUGCGUAGAUAUCGGGAGGAACACCAGUGGCGAAGGCGGCCUACUGGGCACCAACUGACGCUGAGGCUCGAAAGUAUGGGUAGCAAACAGGAUUAGAUACCCGGGUAGUCC
rnacentral:rRNA from 1 species